rnacentral:misc_RNA from 1 species
CAAGUAUUUUGUUUUUUUCCCUUCGGGUGGUCAGGGAGAUGAACGAUUUGCGUUCUCAUGGUAAAAUAAUAAAAGUUUUCUUGCCAUGGAGUGAGCGAUAGGCUUAGUGGAGUAAAGUUAAUAUUGUUGCGUGGGUUUCAAUUUGAUCGGAAAUCUAUAUUUUUGAUUUGAAGUUUUUUGCUUGCUAGAGCUGAAAUUGCACGGCUUUGAUUUUCUUCUCUAUAAAUUUUCCUGUGGAUUCUGGUUCUGCUUGUGUGUGCUUUGUUUCUCCAGUGGUAAACUGAAAAAUAUUGCAUUGUUCUUCUUUGAUUAAACUGCGUGGUGAAGUUUCAGUUUUAAUUUUUUUUUCCCAUCCAUUCACUCUAUGCUUGUAGGCCUUUCCCUGAAUAUGUAGCUAAUUGUUAAAAACGUUCUUCCUUUUUGUCCCACAAUUAACAGUUCCUUUCACAGAUUGAAAGUUUUAAUCCAAAUGCUUGAUGCUGCAUAAACUUGAUGAUAAAAGCACUGCUGUGGAAGUUCUUGAUAAACACAAAGAAAUACUCCCUCAGUCCUGUAAAAUAUAGACGGACUUCUGUGCCAUCCACUAAUGCUGUUUCAUUAAAAACUAAAUGAGUCAUGCAUGUUACUAAAUUAUUCUUGAAA